rnacentral:rRNA from 1 species
GGGCGUCUCUAUCUCAUUGCGAGAGGAGGCGCACUUAGAGCGUACACGCUGAUACCCGAAAGAUGGUGAACUAUGCCUGGCCAGGACGAAGCCAGGGGAAACCCUGGUGGAGGUCCGCAGCGAUUCUGACGUGCAAAUCGAUCGUCGGAGCUGGGUUUAGGGGCGAAAGACCAAUCGAACCAUCUAGUAGCUGGUUCCCUCUGAAGUUUCCCUCAGGAUAGCUUGCGCUCGAACGAAACGAGUCUCAUCCGGUAGAGCGAAUGAUUAGAGGCCUUGGGGUCGAAACGACCUCAACCUAUUCUCAAACUCCAAAUAGAUGAGAACCCCGGCUUUCUUGAACAUUGUUUAUGAAGCCGGGGGAUCGGAUCAGAGUGCCAAGUGGGCCAAUUUU